rnacentral:misc_RNA from 1 species
GAGUAUGUGACAGCAGUUGUGGAAGAAGGUGGCAUUACAGUUGAUCAGCUCUUCUUCCAUGAUCCAGAUGGCUACAUGGUUGAGAUCUGUAAUUGUCAAAAUCUCCCAGUUCUUCCCCUUUCUUCAUGCCCUUUCAAGCUACCUAAAGCCAAUGGAAAGCUUACAUCAUCACCAACAUAUUAUGGGAAGAGAAGCUGGGAGAUGGCUUGUUCCGGAGGUGUUGCGUCUCUGAUGAUGGAUAACUUGGUGGUGGACAUGAUGGACAUUUCGAUCUAAGGGAUUGGAAGGGUGACCAAUGCAAGUUUUGAUUCAGUACUCUGAAAAAAUUGUUUUGUAUACAUUUGUGUAAAGAAAUAAUGUGAGAAAAAUUGAAGUGGUGGGGUUAGCUUUUGGUUUUGUUUGUUAAGGAGUUUCUCAAGUUCCAUUGAAACAGUAUGCUUCUUAAAUUUGUUUGAUCUGUGUCUACUCCAUCUCUCCCUAUCUCUCUUUUUCU